GACGAACGCUGGCGGCGUGCCUAAUACAUGCAAGUAGAACGCUGAAGGAGGAGCUUGCUUCUCUGGAUGAGUUGCGAACGGGUGAGUAACGCGUAGGUAACCUGCCUGGUAGCGGGGGAUAACUAUUGGAAACGAUAGCUAAUACCGCAUAAGAGUAGAUGUCGCAUGACAUUUGCUUAAAAGGUGCAAUUGCAUCACUACCAGAUGGACCUGCGUUGUAUUAGCUAGUUGGUGAGGUAACGGCUCACCAAGGCAACGAUACAUAGCCGACCUGAGAGGGUGAUCGGCCACACUGGGACUGAGACACGGCCCAGACUCCUACGGGAGGCAGCAGUAGGGAAUCUUCGGCAAUGGACGGAAGUCUGACCGAGCAACGCCGCGGGAGUGAAGAAGGUUUUCGGAUCGUAAAGCUCGGUUGUAAGAGAAGAACGAGUGUGAGAGUGGAAAGUUCACACUGUGACGGUAGCUUACCAGAAAGGGACGGCUAACUACGUG
rnacentral:rRNA from 1 species